GGUGGUUCUCAGGUGACGCACCCUGGAAUUGGGCUCCCUCCUCUCUGGUUCCAGGUGCAUCUGCCAAGAACUGCA
rfam:Myotis lucifugus cont2.133, whole genome shotgun sequence.